rnacentral:misc_RNA from 1 species
AAGUCGUAACAAGGUUUCCGUAGGUGAACCUGCGGAAGGAUCAUUAUUGAAACAUGGGGCCGCUCCGGUGAGCCCUGCGCCGGCGGAGACGUCGUGCUGCGGGACCCGGUCGGCUUCGUCCACCCUCACACCCCUGUGCACCUUUGGGAAGGCGGGCCUCUGUGCCUGUCGGCCCGCUCACAAACUCUUGUAAUCGUACCAUGAAUGUCUUUGCGGACUCUGUGCCGCUGGAAACAGUAACAACUUUCAACAACGGAUCUCUUGGCUCUC